GACGAACGUUGGCGGCGUGCCUAAUACAUGCAAGUCAACUGAAAUACCGGUAGCAAUACUGGUAUGGAGGUGGCGCACGGGUGAGUAACACGUAGGUAAUCUGCCUUCAGGUCUGACAUAACCCAUCGAAAGGUGAGCUAAUAUCAGAUGAUGCAGCGGCUUGACAUCAAGACAGUUGUUAAAGCUUCGGCGCCUGAAGAUGAGCCUGCGUCUGAUUAGCUAGUUGGCGGGGUAACGGCCCACCAAGGCUGCGAUCAGUAGCUGGUCUGAGAGGAUGAUCAGUCACAC
rnacentral:rRNA from 1 species